rnacentral:rRNA from 1 species
GUAGUCAUAUGCUUGUCUCAAAGAUUAAGCCAUGCAUGUCUAAGUAUAAGCAAUUAUACAGCGAAACUGCGAAUGGCUCAUUAUAUAAGUUAUCGUUUAUUUGAUAGUACCUUACUACUUGGAUAACCGUGGUAAUUCUAGAGCUAAUACAUGCUAAAAAUCCCGACUUCGGAAGGGAUGUAUUUAUUAGAUUAAAAACCAAUGCCCUUCGGGGCUCACUGGUGAUUCAUGAUAACUCCUCGAAUCGCAUGGCCUUGUGCCGGCGAUGGUUCAUUCAAAUUUCUUCCCUAUCAACUUUCGAUGUUUGGGUAUUGGCCAAACAUGGUUGCAACGGGUAACGGAGGGUUAGGGCUCGACCCCGGAGAAGGAGCCUGAGAAACGGCUACUACAUCCAAGGAAGGCAGCAGGCGCGCAAAUUACCCAAUCCCGACACGGGGAGGUAGUGACAAUAAAUACUGAUACAGGGCUCUUUUGGGUCUUGUAAUUGGAAUGAGUACAAUUUAAAUCCCUUAACGAGGAACAAUUGGAGGGCAAGUCUGGUGCCAGCAGCCGCGGUAAUUCCAGCUCCAAUAGCGUAUAUUAAAGUUGUUGUGGUUAAAAAGCUCGUAGUUGAACCUUGGGCC